CCUACGGGAGGCAGCAGUGGGGAAUAUUGCACAAUGGGGGAAACCCUGAUGCAGCGACGCCGCGUGAGCGAUGAAGUAUUUCGGUAUGUAAAGCUCUAUCAGCAGGGAAGAAAAUGACGGUACCUGACUAAGAAGCCCCGGCUAACUACGUGCCAGCAGCCGCGGUAAUACGUAGGGGGCAAGCGUUAUCCGGAUUUACUGGGUGUAAAGGGAGCGUAGACGGCUGGGCAAGCCAGAGGUGAAAGGCCGGGGCUCAACCCCGGGACUGCUUUUGGAACUGUCAUGCUAGAGUGUAGGAGAGGCAAGUGGAAUUCCUAGUGUAGCGGUGAAAUGCGUAGAUAUUAGGAGGAACACCAGUGGCGAAGGCGGCCUACUGGACGAUGACUGACGUUGAGGCUCGAAAGCGUGGGGAGCAAACAGGAUUAGAUACCCGGGUAGUC
rnacentral:rRNA from 1 species